rnacentral:ncRNA from 1 species
UCUAGGGGUGGCUUUUAGCCUGAGAUUAUACCCGUCAACCUGAUCCGGAUAAUACCGGCGUAGGGAGCGACAAG